rnacentral:rRNA from 1 species
CCUACGUGAGGCUGCAGUCGAGAAUCAUUCACAAUGGGGGAAACCCUGAUGGUGCGACGCCGCGUGGGGGAAUGAAGGUCUUCGGAUUGUAAACCCCUGUCAUGUGGGAGCAAAUUCAAAAGAUAGUACCACAAGAGGAAGAGACGGCUAACUCUGUGCCAGCAGCCGCGGUAAUACAGAGGUCUCAAGCGUUGUUCGGAAUCACUGGGCGUAAAGCGUGCGUAGGCUGUUCGUAAGUCGUGUGUGAAAGGCGCGGGCUCAACCCGCGGACGGCACAUGAUACUGGGAGACUAGAGUAAUGGAGGGGGAAGCGGAAGUCGCGGUGUAGCAGUGAAAUGCGUAGAUGUCGAGAGGAACACGCGUGGCGAAGGCGGGGUCCUGGACAUUAACUGACGCUGAGGCACGAAGGCCAGGGGAGCGAAAGGGAUUAGAUACCCCAGUAGUC